rnacentral:tRNA from 1 species
UAUGAAAUGGCAGAAUAUGCCUAAACUUUAAGCGUUUAUCAUGACCUAGGUCUUUCAUAU